rnacentral:rRNA from 1 species
UCGGGAAUUUUGGGCAAUGGGCGAAAGCCUGACCCAGCAACGCCGCGUGAAGGAUGAAGUCUUUCGGGAUGUAAACUUCGUAAAAAUAGGAAGAAUAAAUGACGGUACUAUUUAUAAGGUCCGGCUAACUACGUGCCAGCAGCCGCGGUAAUACGUAGGGACCAAGCGUUGUUCGGAUUUACUGGGCGUAAAGGGCGCGUAGGCGGCAUGACAAGUCACUUGUGAAAUCUCUGGGCUUAACCCAGAACGGCCAAGUGAUACUGUCGCGCUAGAGUGCAGAAGGGGCAAUCGGAAUUCUUGGUGUAGCGGUGAAAUGCGUAGAUAUCAAGAGGAACACCUGAGGUGAAGACGGGUUGCUGGGCUGACACUGACGCUGAGGCGCGAAAGCCAGGGGAGCAAACGGGAUUAGAUACCCCGGUAGUCCCUGAGCGGGCUGGCAAGGCGCAU